rnacentral:rRNA from 1 species
AGCGUUGCUCGGAAUUACUGGGCGUAAAGCGCCCGUAGGCGGCUUCUUAAGUCGGUGGUGAAAUCCUGGAGCUCAACUCCAGAACUGCCUUCGAUACUGGGAAGCUCGAGUCCGGGAGAGGUGAGUGGAACUGCGAGUGUAGAGGUGAAAUUCGUAGAUAUUCGCAAGAACACCAGUGGCGAAGGCGGCUCACUGGACCGGUACUGACGCUGAGGUGCGAAAGCGUGGGGAGCAAACAGG